GACGAACGCUGGCGGCGUGCUUAACACAUGCAAGUCGAACGAUGAAGCCGGAGCUUGCUCUGGUGAAUUAGUGGCGAACGGGUGAGUAACACGUGAGUAACCUGCCCUUGACUCUGGGAUAACUGCUAGAAAUGGUAGCUAAUACCGGAUACGACCCUCGGAGGCAUCUCCAGGGGGUGGAAAGAAUUUCGGGCAAGGAUGGACUCGCGGCCUAUCAGCUAGUUGGUGAGGUAACGGCUCACCAAGGCGACGACGGGUAGCCGGCCUGAGAGGGUGACCGGCCACACUGGGACUGAGACACGGCCCAGACUCCUACGGGAGGCAGCAGUGGGGAAUAUUGCACAAUGGGCGCAAGCCUGAUGCAGCAAUGCCGCGUGAGUGAAGAAGGCCUUCGGGUUGCAAAGCUCUUUUGUCAGGGAAGAAACGGUGGGAGCGAAUAACUUCUACUAAUGACGGUACCUGAAGAAUAAGCACCGGCUAAC
rnacentral:rRNA from 1 species